AUCACUAUCAUUAUCCUGAUAAAAAAAUAAAAAUAAAAACUUCGUGAUCUAAGAAUCCUAAAACUGCAUUUGUUAGGGCUUUAAAAAACCGGAAUCCAUUAACAAGUUAAUUGAAAUCGGGUAUCCCAGCGGUUCCAUUUUCGAGAUUUCAAAUCCACGAAAGAAGAAUUUUAACCAGAUAUACGUCCAAAGUGAAAAACAGAACCAUCAUAUAAUUUAUUCGAUUCACACACAAAGAGAAUGAAAAAUCUGAAGCUCGACAAAAGAUUGAAUUGCGUACCAUAAUUGAAGUGCGAUCUACUGGCGAUUCAACUGAUUUAUCUGAUUAUCUCAGUAAGAAUGGAGAGACUUCGGGAAAAUGGGAGCUCAAUAUUUUGGAAAAAUUUCACCGUAGGUAUCCAAUCCAUUUGCAUUGAUGCAAAUUUGUCCUCAAUUUGUUAUUAUUUCUGUGC
rnacentral:lncRNA from 1 species